UUUUUUUGAGACAGAGUCUGACUCUGUUGCCCAGGCUGCAGUGCAGUGGUGCCAUCUCGACUCAGUAUAACCUCUGCCUCCCAGGUUCAAGCGAGUCUCCUGCCUCAGUUUCUCAAGUAGGUGGGAUUACAGGCACGUGCCACCAUGUCCAGCUAAUUUUUGUAUUUUUAGUAGAGAUGGGGUUUCUGCAUGUUGGCCAGCUGGUCUUGAACUCCUGAUCUCAGGUGAUCCACCUGCCCCAGCCUCCCAAAUUGCUGAGAUUACAGGUGUGAGCCCCUGCAAAAUAUUUCUUCCCAUAAAUAUUUCUUCCCAAAAAUAGUUUUUAAAAUUUCUUCAGUUGAAAUUAAUUUCCUCCAAAGAUUUACCCAAAUUCAUAAUAAACCUAAACAAAAUGGAAAUACUAUAAAAUGUGAGUUAAGAUAAAAGAAUCUAUAGUUUAUUUCCCAAAGUAUUUUCUUAAUAACUUCAAAAGACAUUAAGUUUAUUACAAAGUAAUUCAAUACUAUAUUAAUAGGUUAUGACAUAUAUGCAUGUGAGAUAUAUGACAAAAUGAUAACCAAAGAUGAAGAAAAUGAAGCAAUAUUGAAGGGAAGUUUCUGUAUUUUACUGGAAUUAAGUUACUAUUAAUCAGAAGGUGGCUGUGAUAGGACAAGAUGCAUAUUGUAAUCAUUAGAGCAAGCACUAGGAAGAGUACUAAUGUCAUACAGCUGAAAAAGAGAAAAACUAAAAAUCUACAUUGGAAAAUAUUUAUUUAACACAAAGGAAGCCAGUUAAGGAUGCAGAAAAUAACAACAUCAAAAAAGACAGGAGAAAUAUAGAAAACAAAUAGCAAAAUGGUAAAUUUAAGUAAAACUAUAUCAAUAAUUGCAUUAAAUGUUAUAAUGAAAACCCAAAUGAAAAGUCAGAGACUGUCAGACAGACUGGGUAAAGAAGAAGAUUCGGUUAUCACUACCUAUAGGAGAGCAUAUAUUAGAUUCAAAGCAUAAAUAAACCCAAAGUAGAAAUAAAAAUAUAUAUACUAUGCAAGCAGUAACCAUAAGACAACUCAAGUAGAUAUAUUAAUAUUAGACCAAAGAUACUUUAAGGCAAGAACUGCUAUGUGAGAAUAACAGGAAUAUUUCAUAAUGAAAGAAAGGUUCAAUAUGUCAAGAAGAAAUAACAAUAUUAGUGUAUCUUCACCUAACAACAGGGCUUCAAAAUACUGAAAACAAUACAUAAAGAAUUAAGAAAAGGAAAACUGACAACUCAAUAACAACUGGUGAAGAUUUCAAUAAUUUACUCUCAGUAAUUAAUAGAAAAACUAGUAUAAAAACCAUAAAGGAUAUAGAAGACUAACACUAUCAGUUAGCUUGACCUAAUGGACAUCUUUAGAUUAUUUCACCAAAUGAAUGCAGAAUACAUAUUCUUUUCAAAUGCAUAUAAAACAUUUUCCUGCUCAUGUAAUGUUCCAUACCAUAAGAUAAGUUUCAAUACAUUAACAAAUGAUAAAAUAAGUUAUCUGAUUACCAAGGAAUGGGAUUUGAAAUCCACAGCAGAAGAAACAUUAAAAAAAUUCUUCAAUGCUUUAAAAUUAAACACUACUUUUCUGAAUAACCCAAGAGUAAACCAAAAAAUCACAAA
rnacentral:lncRNA from 1 species